AAUUAGAUGGCUGGAAGAGCAAAGAAUUUUUAAUUCUUAAACGAAAAUUUUUCUCUAGUUU
rnacentral:tRNA from 1 species